UACGUAGGUGGCGAGCGUUGUCCGGAUUUACUGGGCGUAAAGAGCGCGCAGGCGGUCGUUCAAGUCGCGUGUGAAAGCCCCCCGGCUCAACUGGGGAGGGUCACGCGAUACUGAUCGACUCGAAGGCAGGAGAGGGUAGUGGAAUUCCCGGUGUAGUGGUGAAAUGCGUAGAUAUCGGGGAGGAACACCAGUGGCGAAGGCGACUACCUGGCUGUUCUUGACGCUGAGGCGCGAAAGCGUGGGGAUCGAACAGG
rnacentral:rRNA from 1 species